rnacentral:rRNA from 1 species
UCCUGGCUCAGGACGAACGCUGGCGGCGUGCUUAACACAUGCAAGUCGAACGAUGAACCACUUCGGUGGGGAUUAGUGGCGAACGGGUGAGUAACACGUGGGCAAUCUGCCCUGCACUCUGGGACAAGCCCUGGAAACGGGGUCUAAUACCGGAUACUGACCACCUUGGGCAUCCAAGGUGUUCGAAAGCUCCGGCGGUGCAGGAUGAGCCCGCGGCCUAUCAGCUUGUUGGUGAGGUAAUGGCUCACCAAGGCGACGACGGGUAGCCGGCCUGAGAGGGCGACCGGCCACACUGGGACUGAGACACGGCCCAGACUCCUACGGGAGGCAGCAGUGGGGAAUAUUGCACAAUGGGCGAAAGCCUGAUGCAGCGACGCCGCGUGAGGGAUGACGGCCUUCGGGUUGUAAACCUCUUUCAGCAGGGAAGAAGCGAAAGUGACGGUACCUGCAGAAGAAGCGCCGGCUAACUACGUGCCAGCAGCCGCGGUAAUACGUAGGGCGCGAGCGUUGUCCGGAAUUAUUGGGCGUAAAGAGCUCGUAGGCGGCUUGUCACGUCGGUUGUGAAAGCCCGGGGCUUAACCCCGGGUCUGCAGUCGAUACGGGCAGGCUAGAGUUCGGUAGGGGAGAUCGGAAUUCCUGGUGUAGCGGUGAAAUGCGCAGAUAUCAGGAGGAACACCGGUGGCGAAGGCGGAUNUCUGGGCCGAUAC